CGGGGCGUAGCUCAGUUUGGUAGAGCGCUAUCUUGGGGUGGUAGAGGCCGUGGGUUCAAGUCCCGCCGCUCCGACCA
rnacentral:tRNA from 2 species